CCCAGUAGAAGCGAGCCUGCACCAAGUCUGUGCCCUUCUAAGCCUCUUCCAACUACCCACUCACUCACUGGCCUUUGCCCCUCUGCCUUCAUCUCCAAAACUGAGGCUCUGCAAGUUGCAAUUAAUGCUCUCAUCUUCCUAAGGCAAACCCAUAACUCCAGUCCCAGGAUCCCACCUGUGACCAGCUCAUCCAGCAAUGACUGCUCCCCUUAAAACACAGAGAAGGAAAUGAACUCCUUUCUAAUUAGUCAAGAUCCUGCCAAGAUUUCCUUGUAAAUAAAACUGUCUGCAUGGAGUGUGAUUUUGAAAACAGCCUUCAGGGGACAGAAGAGGAGCUGGCUUCUUUGUGGAAAGAAGCCCAGAAGGAUAAGCAUCUACUGGGGACCCUGAGGAAUCCCCCAGUCAUGUUUGAAGUCUGCAAGUCCAAACAGCAGACAGAGCUCAGGGAGGAGACCGCCACGUGGAAUCCACCCACCCUCCAUCCCCAUCUCCAGCCUUCUUCCGUGGUUGCCCGCUGUCUGCCAGAUCAAACAGAACAAGGUGGCUAA
rnacentral:lncRNA from 1 species